CAGUAGCCGCGGUAACACGAGGGGGGCAAGCGUUGUUCGGAAUCAUUGGGCGUAAAGGGCGCGUAGGCGGUUUGACAAGUCUGAUGUGAAAUCUCUGGGCUCAACCCAGAGUCUGCAUCGGAAACUGUCGAGCUUGAGUAUGGGAGAGGUGAGUGGAAUUUCCGGUGUAGCGGUGAAAUGCGUAGAUAUCGGAAGGAACACCUGUGGCGAAAGCGGCUCACUGGACCAUUACUGACGCUGAGGCGCGAAAGCUAGGGGAGCAAACAGGAUUAGAUACCCGUGUAGUCCCUGUCUCUUAUAU
rnacentral:rRNA from 1 species